GUCAGACACUAACCGAGCCUGAACCGGUGGUCAUUAAACCUGGAGGAUCUCAACUUACCUGUACCUACUCUGAGAUUAGUGAUGAGGAUGAUGCAGACUUAUCAUGAAUUAGACAGGCUCAUGAAGAAGGUCUUGAGUGGAUCUCACACAUUUCUGCUUCAAAUGGAGCAACACAAACCAAGAGCUUUUACUGAUUCUGCUUCAACACACACCAUGAUCUCUACAUCACUACUGCUGCUGCUGCUGGCAGCCGUACACUGUGGUCACUGUGUUGAGCUGAUCCAAACCAGAUCCACAAUAUUAACCCCUGGACAGUCACUGACUCUGACCUGUAAAGUGUCUGGAUAUUCACUAACUGAUACCAGCUACUGUACAGGAGGGAUACGACAACCUGCAGGAAAAACUCUGGAAUGGAUCGGACACAUAUGUGGUAGCGGUGGCACUGCCUACAGUGAGAAACUAAAAAGCAGGUUUCAGGUUACCAGAGACACGUCCAGCAGCACAGUAACAUUAACAGGACAGAACAUGCAGACUGAAGACACAGCUGUGUAUUACUGCGCUCUGUUAGAAGCUCCACACACUCAGCUCGAUCUAAAAUACACAUCUGCAAGAAGAGAAACUAACAAGAGCUAG